rnacentral:rRNA from 1 species
UACAGAGGUCCCAAGCGUUGUUCGGAUUCACUGGGCGUAAAGGGUGCGUAGGCGGUCGGGUAAGUCUGAUGUGAAAUCUCGGAGCUCAACUCCGAAACUGCAUUGGAUACUAUUCGGCUUUGAGGGUUGGAGGGGGGACUGGAAUUCUCGGUGUAGCAGUGAAAUGCGUAGAUAUCGAGAGGAACACCGGUGGCGAAGGCGAGUCCCUGGACAACUCCUGACGCUGAGGCACGAAAGCUAGGGGAGCAAACAGG